GGUUGUGUUUUGGAGGAUGCAGUCUGUGCUGCUGUUGACCUGGAUCACCAUUAUACAGACAGGACAACCAGCCAAUCAGAAGCAGAGUAUGGCCCGUCCUGACAAGCCAGUAACCACAGCUUCGGUUCAGCUUUACAUGUUCCCGAAUCAGCUUUGCAUCAUAGAACGGAGCAAGACUUUCAGAGUGUAACAACUUUAUGUCCACUGACUACCCGGAGGGUUUGUAACAUUCGUUGGUGGUGAGGGGAGGGAGGCAGCAGACGGACGUCACUGUGUGUUGCAGCUCAGAGUGUUUCUCCGCCAGAGUUUUUGAAGGCGUGCCACACUAGCCACUAGGUGAGCAUUAUGAUGCCUGUUAUGCAGAUAGGUUACUGAAAUAAAGGCUGGAUUACAAACGAGCUGUUUUCAGGCAGU